CACAGCUGUUUUGGGUGACACCCUGGAGCAGCCGAAGCGCCCGGUCACUUGUUGUCUGCACAGGGACGUUCAGAUAGCUCCCGAGAGGGAUCAGGACGGAGGUGGGAAGGACGUCGGCUGCCGAACCCAGCAGACACUGGGUCGCAUCAGAGCGUCCGGUUGUGGAGCUUCAGCUAAUUAAGGAACAGUACAAGUUCAGACGCAGACGCUGGCAGCGCGAAUUACGGCCGACUGUGGUCAAAGCUGUACGUGGAAGCCCAAGCUCUGCAGCAGGAGUGAGACGUAUCUGCGGCGGGAAGAGAAGGAGCGUGGCGGUCUGCAGGAAGCUGCGGAAAAACAAGGCGUAGAUGGCGUCAAGACAGGAAACGUGCCGCCUGCGACCGGGGGCCCGUCGGGAGACGCGGAGCCGGAUCUGCCCGGGCGCACCUACGGGGAAGAGCGUGCAGACGGGCCCACGUCACCUUCGGUGGGGAAGGGCCGGACUCUUCUCCGUAGCCACAAGACCCUGGCGCCUCCUCGAGGUGCCUUCAGCCGCCCCGGAGCUGGUGGAGGGAAACCAGCGUUGGCAGGGACCUCUCCCGCGUGGAGCCUCGCAGGAGAGCCGAGGACGUUGUCAAACGCUCCCUUGGCGCCGGGGUGGGACGGGACCCUACGGCGCACGUGACAACACGGCGAGGAGGUUUGGGAGCACAAGACACCUCCUUCUUGCACCCUUCCGAGCUCGUGCCCCUCCUGAGAGCUCGGCCCCCCGCUCCGGGGAGCGGGUGUCCCUCCUGCUGCCGAGGCGCUCUUCCCUCGCCCCAGCCCCCGGGGCGCGACGUGACAUUCGUCUGGGAACUAAAACUCCCUCGGCACCACCGAACGCUCUCGUGCCAAAACCUCGCGGCAGGAUCACCUUUCCUUGUGUGCAGCGCUGGAAGCAACGCGCAAGGGCAGGACACAUGAAAGCUAAGAAGGGAUAAAUAAAUGUCACCGCAGCCACGGGCAGCGCCGUCCUCUCCAGCUUCACCCGCAGAGCGCUGGGCACAGCGGCGCGCAGGUCCCGGCCCCACCUCGGCCACCCCGCAGGCGACGGGCCGCGAGGAGAAAACGGCCCUUCGUUGCUCUUGUAGUCUUUGAGGAAGCAGGUCUUGGAGGACGGGUUUCACCACAGGCUUGGGGAGACUCGCUGCACCGCACGAGGCAGCGCCCUCCCUUCCCACCGAGCCUUCGCACCAUCGCUAGCGCUGUGCCGCGUCCGAGGAUGAUCAACGCUCGGCCUUCCACUGCCGAGAACGUAGUCUCGGAAGGAGAAGGAAAAAAGUGCUAUUUCAUUAGAAAUAAUUAAAAAUCAAUCUUUGAUGAAAGCCUUGAAAGACAACUUCCCUUACUAAAAUGGGGAAGGAAAAGAGUGAGGAAAAAAAUACGAGAAACAAUCACUAUCGCAGAGACAAAAUGACGAGCUCCUCCACCGCAGUCCCGAACAGUUGCUGUUAAGUUAUCUGAGGAUUAACCAGCAUGGGCAAUUAUGAAACGAAGGCUCCGAGCCCAGCAAGUCCUUGGCUUCGUUACUAGGCCUGCCAGGACGAGCCCUCGCUGAGUUAGAGCUUUAUUCUCUUUAGUGGACAUCUGUCCACCAAGGACUGGAUGGAGGCCAUUCGCUCCCAGACAGGCCACCUAACACAGAUGACAGAUCAUAACAGCUCCUGGCAACCACCAACCCAGCUUCACACGCACUUGCCAAGUCCUUGAGUCAUCUAAUAAAAAUGCAGAUUUUUCAAAGUUGA